rnacentral:rRNA from 1 species
GACGGAAGGUGCAAGCGUUGCUCGGAUUUACUGGGCGUAAAGGGCGCGUAGGCGGUCAGCACAAGUCAGUUGUGAAAUCUCCGGGCUUAACUCGGAAAGGUCAACUGAUACUGUGCGACUAGAGUGCAGAAGGGGCAACUGGAAUUCUCGGUGUAGCGGUGAAAUGCGUAGAUAUCGAGAGGAACACCUGCGGCGAAGGCGGGUUGCUGGGCUGACACUGACGCUGAUGCGCGAAAGCCAGGGGAGCGAACGGG